UUACGACCGUAUCACGUUGAAACACGGAUUCCCGUACUAUCAUCAAAGUUAAGCAACGACGAGCUGGGUCAGUAUUUAGAUAGGAAACCGCUUGGGAAUACCAGUUGCUGUAAG